rnacentral:rRNA from 1 species
GACGAACGCUGGCGGCGUGCCUAAUACAUGCAAGUAGAACGCUGAAGGAGGAGCUUGCUUCUCUGGAUGAGUUGCGAACGGGUGAGUAACGCGUAGGUAACCUGCCUGGUAGCGGGGGAUAACUAUUGGAAACGAUAGCUAAUACCGCAUAAUAUUGACUAUUGCAUGAUAGUCAGUUGAAAGGUGCAACUGCACCACUACCAGAUGGACCUGCGUUGUAUUAGCUAGUUGGUGGGGUAACGGCUCACCAAGGCGACGAUACAUAGCCGACCUGAGAGGGUGAUCGGCCACACUGGGACUGAGACACGGCCCAGACUCCUACGGGAGGCAGCAGUAGGGAAUCUUCGGCAAUGGACGGAAGUCUGGCCGAGCAACGCCGCGUGAGUGAAGAAGGUUUUCGGAUCGUAAAGCUCUGUUGUAAGAGAAGAACGAGUGUGAGAGUGGAAAGCUCACACUGUGACGGUAUCUUACCAGAAAGGGACGGCUAACUACGUG